UACGGAGGGUGCAAACGUUGUUCGGAAUUACUGGGCGUAAAGCGCAUGUAGGCGGAUAUGUAGGUCAGAUGUGAAAUCCCUUGGCUCAACCAAGGAAGUGCAUCUGAAACCAUACAUCUUGAGUAUGACAGAGGGAAGUGGAAUUCCCAGUGUAGAGGUGAAAUUCAUAGAUAUUGGGAAGAACACCGGUGGCGAAGGCGGCUUUCUGGGUCAUUACUGACGCUGAGAUGCGAAAGCGUGGGUAGCAAACAGG
rnacentral:rRNA from 1 species